rnacentral:lncRNA from 1 species
UGGUACGAAACUUAAUUUCCACAAAAUAUAUGGGUUUGAAAAAUAACGGUCGCUGUCUGCAACAGCCGCCGAACGAGAAAGAGGGGAGUGUCCACACGGGAAGCAGUAAACCAGAGACAGCGGUGAUUCUCACACGUUGCCGGCCAAAUCACUUACUAGAAAAAUGCUCUAAACUCGUAUAAAUUAGUCGUUGCAAUAUUCAAUCAAACAAUUAUUUCAAAAAAUCAAACGAACAAAAAAGCUUCGUAGCUCUAUUUGAUCUUCUUUCUUUUUUCUUGAGAAAAUUAAUCUUCUUCUUCCAAGUAUGUAAAGCUUGUCAGAUUACUUAAUAUGGCCGCCGUUUAUUAGCGUCUUAACUCGGUAACUACUAAUUGAUCUUAAUUUUAUUGAUUUCGAGUUUCAUUUGUUCGAGGAAAUCUUUUAGUUGUUGAUUUAUUAUUGCCUUUUUGCUUAUUUGUUUUUGUCUGUUGAUCUUUUGGAGUUUUAAUUACUUGGUAUGACUCCUUCUUUUCUGAUUAAGUAGACCUCAGUAGUUAAUUGAGGGGAAAUGCUUUAAAUGUAGUAUAAUCGAGGUCGAUUAUAGUUUUGAUAGUAAUUAAGCUAAACUUGAAGUGUGAUCGAUGUAUACUGUUUUGACUAAAUCUAGAAAAAUUUGUGAGUGCGACUUGAUCAGUUAUUGAGAUGCUAAUAAUUGAAUAUUGAGUUUGAUUAUGGCUACACUUUUGAUAAGAGGGACACGGUUGUGUUUAUCAUAACCUAAUGUUACUUUCUCUUUGUUAUGUUUUAUGGAAGAAACGGUAUUGAGUGAUGGUUACGUUAGCCUAGCAAUUGUGUGUUUCUCAACUUAGACGGAGAUCCAAGCUUAAGUGCUCCUCCCAUGCAUUAUUUCCUAUCUAAAAAGAGAGUUGGCUUAAAACUGGAUAGUUGUAAGAAAUAUGAACUGUGUCCUAGUUGAAUGGAUGCUCUGAGUCUAACGACCUAAAAAUAAAUUAUAAAUGUUGUUUUCUUAAUUUAAGUUUUAGUAAAAUAUUGUGAGUUUCAAGAUAUUCAAGUAGAUUGAGAGUCUCUUUUCUCUGUUAUGAGUUCAUGAUUGAAGAAAUUAUUUCAUAUGUAAUUUGUUUUUUGUGCUAAAGAGGUAGGGACUAUGUCGUGGGAAAGGAAAAUAGCAGUAACUUAUCGUAGACAGAUAUGGGGUNNNNNNNNNNNNNNNNNNNNNNNNNNNNNNNNNNNNNNNNNNNNNNNNNNNNNNNNNNNNNNNNNNNNNNNNNNNNNNNNNNNNNNNNNNNNNNNNNNNNNNNNNNNNNNNNNNNNNNNNNNNNNNNNNNNNNNNNNNNNNNNNNNUUUUUUCGAAUCAUGAUGGCUGCUUUAAAAAAGAACUAUAUGCAGAAAAACUUAAUUGUGCUGACAUCUAUAAGCUGUGUAAUUUUUAUUUUUAAUUACACUGGCUUCUCUCUUUCUCUUGCAAAUUAGUUCUUUUUUUGUGGUAAUAUUAACAUCUUGGAUGGGAUCAGAAUGCUGCCGCUAGUAGUUCUUGGGUAAGACUUAGACUAGCACAAGGAUGUUAGACUCCAUGGAACUCUCAUAAUUCACUACUUUUGCUUUUAGCUGUCUUUGGUACACCCGGUAAGAUAGGGUGGGAUAGGGUAAGGUUAAGUAAGGCUCCUUCAUUAGUUAGUUAACAAAGAGGAAGGAUGAUCUUCAUGCCUGCGUUAAAAAUUUUUCCUUAUAUCCUUGCUUGCUGCAUUUGACACGAGGAAGUUUGCAUCUAAUUUCAUCUCAAAGUCAGAUGCCCAUAAAUUUAAUAUAUGAAUCCAGUUUAAUUGCUUAAGCACAAGUUUUGAUUUGAGCAUCUGUUCAACCUCUGGCUGAUACUUUAAGCUUUCAGUGAAUAAAACUUCGAAAUAUGUGUUAGUUGGCAAAUGAAUUUUAAGAUUGGAUCUGCUGUUGGAGAAGAUCAUGCUUUACAAAUUUUCAUGAAAAUGUGCAUCAGAAUUUAAAACUACAUAUAUCUUUUAGCAAUAGAUUCUUAUACAAUAUUUUUCUAAUACCUUCUUCAAAAUUUUUGGGUAGGGAACUUGGCAGUAUAUUGGAAGCAUUUUAGCAUAUAGUUCCAUCGUGUGGUUUACUUUUAAGUUGUUGGUAUAUUCUUUGGCAAGAUCAUCUUCCCCUCAUAUUAUCAUAAUCUUUUCUUCCUCUAUGUAAUUCUCUUCUUGUUGUUCCUACCUUCAUGGUUUCUAGGGCAAUUGCUUGGUAAUGUAAACAAUUUGUCCUACAAAGAAUUAAGAUCGGCAGCAGAUAAUUUUCAUUCAAGCAAGAAGAUAGGACGUGGUGGUUUUGGAACUGUUUACAAGGUGCUCAAAGUUAACAUAUAUUUCUCGUUAAUACAGCUUAAUAGGACAAUGAUCUAUCGGCUUUCUGGAGAACAAACUUAUUAGAGAUUUUUUUAAGUUAUUGUUAAAAACAUGUAGAUAUUUAGUAUUGGUAUAGUUAUGCCCAUAUUUCAGCUACAAUCAAUUUCAGAGUGGCGCUUUUUUUAUUUCCUAUUUGCCUUAAGCACUGCGACUCAUUUUAAUGUUAAACAAAUUUCAUUUAUGAUUUCAUGUUGACACUAUAGGGACUGUGGAGCUAUAGCUUUAUUUAUAUAAUUUUUUCAAAGUUUUGUGACUCGCUAACAAUUUUCCAAAUUUUGUAGGGAAUUCUAAGGAGUGGAAAAGAAGUUGCCAUUAAGACACUCUCUGCAGAAUCAAAGCAGGGAGUGCAUGAAUUUUUGACCGAGAUAAAUACAUCUCCAAUGUCAAGCAUCCCAAACCUGCUGAGUUAGUCGGUUGCUGUGUUCANNNNNNNNNNNNNNNNNNNNNNNNNNNNNNNNNNNNNNNNNNNNNNNNNNNNNNNNNNNNNNNNNNNNNNNNNNNNNNNNNNNNNNNNNNNNNNNNNNNNNNNNNNNNNNNNNNNNNNNNNNNNNNNNNNNNNNNNNNNNNNNNNNNNNNNNNNNNNNNNNNNNNNNNNNNNNNNNNNNNNNNNNNNNNNNNNNNNNNNNNNNNNNNNNNNNNNNNNNNNNNNNNNNNNNNNNNNNNNNNNNNNNNNNNNNNNNNNNNNNNNNNNNNNNNNNNNNNNNNNNNNNNNNNNNNNNNNNNNNNNNNNNNNNNNNNNNNNNNNNNNNNNNNNNNNNNNNNNNNNNNNNNNNNNNNNNNNNNNNNNNNNNCUCUGUAUAUUAGACUUGAAUAAUUAAUGUUAAAAUCUCAACUAGUUGUUAACAAGAUUCUAUCCAGUGGCGAGUUUGAUAUGGAUGCAUUGAAACCUUAUACUUAUUUGUUCAGCAUUAUCCCUAUGACACUCAAUCUCAACCCUUUUCCCAAAGGCUUUUUUGAUAUUUCAGUCUCCUCCCCUAAACUGCGCUCCAUAUCGGGGAAAAGAAUAAACGGAAAACACAGUAUCACUGUUAACCAUCAUUCAACCAAAAUCCAAGAUAAGUUGAAAAGGUAGGUCUUCAGGGGACCGCAUAAGCUUUUCGUACCAGUAGUAUAAAAGCUUAACGACUAACUCUCAGUUGUUGAGUUUGACUUUUUAUAGGAGUCGCUUAGAGGCUAGAUUAAGAUACUGGUAAGUGAGUGAACCCUUUCUAAAAGCAAAAAGAGUAAAGAACUAUCAAGAACAAGCAUUCCUGCAAUGGACCAGACAGACAUUUGCCUCUUACAGCAUUUUACUGAUACAACCAAAAUUUGACUGGUCUAAGUUCAAAAGAGUUUAGUGGGCCUUGAAUGAACAGCUUAAAACUUUUCAUAAUGAAUUCUGGAUUUCUUUAAUAAUUAAUUGACAUUAUAGAGCUGUCCUGAACAGACCUAUGGCUCCCCUCCAGUUAUGAAAUGAAAUCUUGGUGUUAGGUGAAAACCUCUUACAUUACUGUUUAUGUUUUCAUGCAGCGGUUAUCUAGCACCAGAAUAUGCAUUGGGUGGUCAAUUAACAUUGAAGGCUGAUGUUUACAGUUUUGGGGUCCUUGUGCUUGAAAUAAUUAGUGGGAGAAGCAGUGCAAAGGGAAACCGGGGAAGGAUGCAGAAGCUCCUCUUAGAAUGGGUACGUUUAUUUUAGUUUUUCAGCUUUGCACUUUCAUCUUUGUGCGGUUACCUUGCUGCUUUGCUUAUAGAUGCUGAGGAAAAAAAAAACUAGUACAACUGUUGGAAAAGAAAGUUACUUUGUUGGAGAAAAGAAAAUUAUAGAAAUAGAACUUUUUCCUUGCUUUCUUUCUGAGGGGGUGCUUAUAGGUGCAAAAAGGGAACCAAGAGACACAUAUAAAUUAUUCUUAAUUAAUGGUGCAUAUCCAAAAAAACAUUUCUAAAUAAUUACUAGAUUUCAUAAAACUACUUAAUUGGUAGGAAUUCUUGUAGGCAUAAGAAUUUUAAGAGCCGCGCAAUAAUUUCAAUAACUUACAUGCAUCAUAAGAGAUAUUUUUUUUAAAAAAAUACAAAGUGCGUCAUAAAAGUCACAUAAUAAUUUCAAAUUAUUAUUUUUAACAUCCCCCGUAAUUUGAAAUCUUAUUCAACUAAUGCUUGUUCUCAAUCUUCAAAAAUCUUCAAAAAGCUUCGUGAAAAUAUCUGUAACCUGAUCUUAAGUUUUCACAUACCUGAGCUCCACUUCUUGUUAACAAUGCGUUCUCUAAUAAAAUGAUAAUUUGUGUCUAUGUGCUUGCUUUGGUCAUGGAACAACCAAUUUUCGCAAAUGCUUGUGCGGAUUUAUUGUGAAUGCAGAUUUUUGUUAGCUUCUUCUUGUGACAAAUGGUGUUCUUUCAGCAAUCUUUUUAGCUAAAUUGCAUGACAAGUACAAGAGGUUGCUGCUACAUUUAUUCAGACUCAUAUGUUGAAACUGUGACAAAAGGUUGAUUCUUUGACCUCCAUGCGAUAACACAAUCACUCAUAAAAGUACAAAACUAGUAGUGCUGUUUAUAUCAUCCAUAUCUCACAGAAAAAUCAUUAUCACAAAAUUUCACAGGCUUAAAUUACUUGAGAACGAAUAGAAUAGUCUAAAAUCAAGUGUACCUUUUAGGUAGCGAAGAAUUCUCUUAGCAGCUUACAUGUAGGUGGAAGCAGGAGUUUCUAUCGAAAGACUCACUACUACAACUACAUAAAAGGUAUUAGGCAUUGUACACGUUAAAUAUCUUAAACUUCUGACAAGACCUUGAAAAGAGUGAGAUUUUCCUUUUUCUUUAUUUUCAAGCUUUGAUGUAUUUACGAGUUUACAAUCAACUACUUUGAACUUUUCCAAAACUUCUUUUGCAUAGCCCUCCUGAGAAAUGAAUAUGCCUUCCUUCAGCUGCUUCACCUCUAGCCCAAAUAUUUAUGACAUAGGUCCUAUACCGGUCAUCUCAAAUUCAAGUGCCAUAGGUCUUAAUUCUUCUAACAAGCUUGGAUUGCUGCUAGUGAAUAUAAAAUCAUCCGCAUAAAAACAAAUAAACAAAGCAUUGCAAAUAUCAUGAAUUUUGAAAUAAAGUGCAUACCCAUUAAGACAAUGAACAAAGUCCAUAUAAAGAAGAACAAGCAAAAUAUCUCAAUUAUCAUGAAUUUUGAAAUAAAGAGUAUACUCAUUAAGACAAUGGAUAAACCCAUUUUUUUUGCGGCUAUUCCAUGUCUUUGGUGCUUACUUCAAUCCAUACAAGGUUUUCUUCAAUCUGAGGACUUUAUCUUCAUGUCUAUUGAGCAGAUAACCUAAUGGCAACUCAAUAUAGACUUCUUAUUCAGAUAACCAUUUAGGAAGACCAACUUUACAUCUGGUUGAUAAAUUUUCUACUUUAUUUGAGCCGCCAAGGAAAUAAGUAAGCAAAUAGUUUGUAGUCAAGCAACUGGUACAAAGACUUCUUCAUUCUCAACUCCAUGCUUUGAAUUUAUGAACAUUUGAUUAAUUCAUGGUUUAGGUCAAAUAUAAGAAUUAAUUUGAAUACAAAGUGAAUUCUGUUUUACAUUUACUCCACACAUUGUCUUAGAGUUUUGAAAUUCAGAAACUUUUUGUUAUAGUAAAAUGAAGUCUCUUCUUCUCAUUUGUGAACAGGCAGAAUAUUAAAUGUGAUAUGUACCAUGAUGUCUAAACAUUUUUUUUUAAUUCCUUUUUAAUUUUUUAAGAUAAUUAUCCAAUUCCAACUUAUGAUGUAAUAUUGUAUGGGUGCUUACCUGUUUGUUAAUAAAUAUUAAGGUUUGACAUUUUCCAAUUGGUCUAAAGCUUAUAUAAGCUAUUGUUUUUUACACAAAAUUAAUAAUUCGUAAAUUGUUAGCAUUAAAUUUCGUUUACUGAAAUAGAAUAUCUUUUCUCUUUCCCAACAACCCUUUUCAACUGAAAAUUAUGAAGUAUAGAAAAUAAUGUUGCUUCACAGAUUAAACCUGCAAUUUCUUUGGAAUCUGUUUCAAAUUAAUUCAUUUUGGUUGGUUAUCUCCCAACACUUUGGUUGGCUUCAACAGGCAUGGGAUCUCUAUCAAGAAGAGAAACUAUUGGAGUUAGUAGAUCCUGAGCUAGAGGAAUUCCCAGAAGACGAAGUCAUUAGGUACAUGAAAGUAGCAUUUUUCUGCACCCAGGCAGCAGCUAGCCGAAGACCAGUGAUGAGCCAGGUUGUCGACAUGCUAUCAAAGAACAUUAAGCUCAAUGAAAAACUACUGGCUGCUCCAGGUUUCUUCCAAGCUUUAGGGGAGUUUAGUGGAGCAGAAAAGAAAUCAUCGCCUGAUUCUACUAGCUACCAAAUGAGCUCUGUUCCCAUUACGAUCACUCAGGUAACUGCUAGAUGAGAUGUGACUUUUUAGGGAUAGACAUUAAAGCCUUCAUUCAAUUUGACCAGCAAUUAAAAAAAAAUAAUAAUAACAAAGAGGAAGAAAAGGUUAAAUAUAUCUGUCUUUCAGGGCAUAAUCCCACUUGCUUUGUUUUUAUGUUUCUAUUACUCUUUUUUCUUUUUUAGAAAAAAAAAAUCAUGUUGAGUUUUAUAUCAUGAUUCUUGUCAUUUUUAUUUUCUGAAAAAAAGAAAUUUGUAUUUGAAAUUUAUUGAUAUAAUAAUUCCAUGUAAAGUUCUAUAUGAAUUUAAUUUUAUCAUAUUUUAAUAAAAUUUGAAGGUUAUUAUUUUAAUUCUAUGUAAUGAAACUAUCAUUUAAAAGAAUUAUACAAAUUAAUAUGUUCAGAUUAGUGCCGUGCGUGAAAAAGCUUUUACUUCCAUCUAUAAUGUGCAUUGAAUUAAUGGUGGUAAAAUGUUUUUGUAGUAUAAUAUAAUGUAUAUAUCGUAUAAUAAUCAAGUGUCAUUUUCAAGACAUUUGUUUUUCUGCCCAUCCCAGAGAUCUAUCUGAAUGCUAUCAGAUACUUUUGGACAUAAGUAAAUACAAAAUUUGAUGCCUAUUUAAAAUUGUUUGCUUCAUUUUCAAAAUGUAAAAACUUAUAUUUCAUUUUUUUAAAACAAUUAUGAGAACUUAUAAGAUAUAUAGUUUACAAGAUCUUCGACUGCAGGUGAGUUGUGUUUUUUUUUUUUUGGUUAAAUACAUAUUAAAAUGAUCUUUUUUUUUUUUUCAACAAAUGUGCAAUUAAUAAUCUAAUUUUUUAUUUUGUUUAAUUAAACACCUAAUGUUGAAUUAAAGUUUUUGCUAACACGUAUUUUAGACAUAAUCGAUCAAAUUAAUUUUUAAAUUUAAAAUAAUUUUUUUUAUAUUUAUAAUAAAUAAUUAAACUCAAAGUUAUUUAUACUAUCUGAAAGAAGACAUCAAUUUUCUUUCUUUUCAUUUUCUUUUUUUUUUUUCCUGUCCUUUUAUUAUAUAUUUUAUUCCUUUAAUUUAACAUUUCUAAUAGUUCAUUUAUUCCAAAUAUAAAUUUACUAAGUAGUGUUAACAAAAGGGAUUUAAUUAUUGAACAAUAUCAACAUUUAUAUAUAAUUAAAAACUCUUAUCACAUUAACCUACAUUCGUGGUUUAUAGAAUACAAGAACAGAUCUGGGCAAAAGAACCCAUGGUGGUGUAGUUGAGACCUAUGGCUGCACAGCAAGGAAACAAGAAAAUCCAUCUUUUUAUCAAUGACACAAAAAUCAUGCGACUUCCGUCGCUGUGGUCUAUAUGACAAAAUUUCCAAGUAUAAAUAAUCAAAAUCUGAAGUGGCUGCAGAUAAAUAUAUCUAUCGACCAGGAAGUAAUUCGUGAUCAGCUAAAAGACACAAGUCCAUCAUACAACCAAAAACAAAAUAACAAAACCAUAUUAAAAGCCAAGAUAAUACAAGAGCGAAAAGUUGGAAGAAGUUAAACGCAGAAUAACAAAACCAUAUUAAAAGCCAGGACUUCAACUCCCUGUCCAUACAGCCAAAAAAAAAAAUAAUAAUAAUAAGAAUCCAACUCCUGACAGAAGGAGCCGACUAAUGUUUUCUUUUGACUCUCCUAAGGUAAAUGACGUGAUACAAAAUGCUAUUUUGACAGAAAUAGACAGAUUGGACAAAAACAAAAUAAGAGAAUAUGCGAUCAACCUGAAAUUAGGCGAAAAGGACUACUGUGAGCAAAUCAUGCGGCUGGUGUUGGCUCAGGUUCCGCAGCAGGUUGGAUGUUCUCUGCAGCAGCCUCUGGUUGGGAAGUGUGUGAAGAACCUUGAGGAAUGGCAUCUUUUGCUGGCGAAGAAGUUGCAGCUUUCUCUGCAGCGUCUUUUUUAGUUUUGGCAUCUUUGCUAUCCUUCCCAUCUUUCACAGGUGCGGGAGGAGGUGGCAUCAUGUGAGGUGGUGGUGCAUGCUUCAGCUUCACGAGGAUUUGCCUCAUUCUUGAGAGAUCAGUGGGUUUCCCAGGUUUAGGUCCUUGAAUAACUGUUAUUGAUGGCUUCUUUUCUUGAUCCUUCUUGCCUCUCUUCUUCUCAAUAUUGGGCACCUCAUAAGGAAUGAGUUCCGCAAUUGCCUUCCAGUAUUGUUUGUCUGCUUCCUUGUGGAACUUCUCUUGGAUAGCUAAGACUAACUGCUCCAGAAGCAAAAUCUCAAAAUAUCAGAUACAGCAACACAGGAAUAAAUUCCUGUAAAGACAAUUCUCAUUAAUGGCUUACCUUUUCUCUUUCCCUGUUAUUAACCUUGUUACUUUCAAUAUUAACAUUUCUUUUCUCAUAGAAUGCUCGUUUAUAUUCUUCAGCUUCUUCAAUAAUCUGGUUCCUGAUUUCCUUCUCCCUCUUUUCCUUCUCCUCUAGCUGGAUGGCAUUUUGACUGCAUUCGAAGUUCCACCAUUAAAAAAUAUGUAAUAUUAUGGAGAAACAAAGAAGUCUGAGAUUGGGUAUUAGAACCCGAAAAAAAUGUCCUGCCUCGAAGAAAUUGAACUACACUCGUAAGAGGCAAAUCAGGCUGAUAAUGUAUUGGAACAUCCAAUUCUCAACAUACAAAAAUAGAACAAAACUUAUCAAGGAAAAGCAAGGAUCCAACACAUCCAAAAUUUCAUCUAUGCAACCAGUACCAGAUGGGAACAACUCUUCAAAGAACAGUGAAUUGCAGGAGAAGAAGGGAGUAAACAAGGAUAUGACAGGCCUUUAAGUAUGAUUACACAAAAGCAACUACAAUAAACUAUUUCCAUUAAAAUUUGAAAGAAACUACACCAGGCUGUUUAAUGAGCGCCAAAUUACCAUGCCACCAGAAAGCAUGCAUGCUGCUGGACAUCACAACUAAAGUCGUGGAUCAGGCUUUACACCCCAUAAAUUUUUGUUCUAAGCCAAUCCCCACAAAGAUUAUGGUCAAUCGUUAACUUAUAGCAAGCAAAAACAGUUCAAACAAUAUACAGAAGUUUAUUCCAAAUAAAGAUUCUAAUAAUGUGAAUUGUGAAAACAAUAUCACCAUAAAUGUCAUGGUCUUGAACAAACAAGCCGAAAAAAAUUGAAACCUAGCUGUUUAGAUCUGAGAAUGCUUCUAUAUUCAAGCGAGGAGAAGGCUACACCCAAUUCUAACUGAUGAAUCAUCUUAGCAACACCCCUAACUAAGCUCAGCAGAACACCUUCUCAAGAUGGGUUUCAAGCACAUUCCAAUUAAAUAUAACAAGAAAAGCUAAUCGUUUUCAUAUUGCUCACAGAAAGAAAAACAUACCAAAUUUAGCACCAUCAACCACAUACAAUCACAAAAUCUUGACUAGAGAAGAACUUAAACAAGAAGCAAUUUUGAACUCUUAAGUACUCCAUACGUAAUUCUGCAGAUCUAAAAUAACCUAGAUGUGAACUUAUGCAGAUUUUCAAAGCUCGAAUUGAUGCAGGAUCCAAAAAGCAAUAAUCAAAAUUCAAACUCUUUAAAUUUACAUUUUUCACAGGAACAUGGCUGAAUAACCAUCAUGGAUCGUAAAUUCACAAUGGAUUUUAGCUCCUUCCUGCUGUGAUCCAUUCAACUCUUAACAUAUCAGUUAAAAAUGCCAAAGCCUCACUUAAGUUCAGUCAGUUCUCCAAAAUUAUCCAAUCAAAAGUUUUGUCAUACUUCUCCAAAAUUCAGCUUAUUUGAACACUAUUCUCAAAAUAGAUGAAUAGAAAAUAGUAACAAUACGGAUCCAUAGAGAAAACUUAAACUUUUACCUUAAUCUCCACAACUAAAUCGAGCGUAAAAAAUUUUAUCACACGGUAAAUAGUAAACACACGGAUCUGAUCAAGUUCAAGAAAAAUUCUUUAAAAAACACAAAAAAACAAGCAUUAAAUUAACUUCAUCAAGUUAUUUCCAGCUUACUCAACUCAAAUCGCAACUUCUCGAAAAUAAUAAACGACAUACCAAAGCUACAGCUAAAACACUGAAUCAGGAAAACUAUUUGAAAACAGAAAAAGAAAAAGGAGCACAGAUCUACAGCAGAUCUACUCGAGCUCACAAUAAAAAGAGAAGAGUAUAAGAGUAAUUAAAUCAAAUCAAAACCCUCACCGACGCCACUCACGGAGAGCGAAACCCUCCUCCGGUUCCAUCUCGGUAGGAGGCGGAAGCACCGGUCCAUCCGACUCAAAAACGUUAUCACUUCCAGCACCAUAGCCAUUUCCAUUUCCGUUCUCCACAUGAACCGAGGAGCUGAACGGAGAUUGCGAGUAACUAGGAUUCGGAUCAGAGGAUCCGAAGCCGAAGAUAUCCGGCGACUCAGCCACGUGAUCCACUGUAACAUCACUUUCUUCCCCGGGGAACCCGCUGGAUGAGUGCUGGUUAUUGCCUGAGAAGCUGGAGUAGGCGCCGUAACCAGAGAAUUCAUCGUCGUCUUCGAAGGGACGAUGGUGAUUCGCCGCGUGAAUCUCCUCUCCUUCCAUGCCAAAUGAAUCGAAGGAAGACAUGCUUCUCUUUCCCUUCCCCCCUCUCUCUCUCUCUCUCGCUCUCUCUCCCUGUACGCCUUUUUCUCUCUCUAGAAACAGCUCGGUGAGGGAAAUGUGUAAGAAAUGUAAGAGGUGGCUUUGAAGUUUCGAAUGCCAUUAUUUGACUUUUUAUAUACUUCAUGGUGACUACGAGACAAAAAAUGAUAGUGCCAGGGACGAUUGUAAGAAGAUUGUAAAACGACGUCGUUGUGGCAUUAGGCAGUCUUGCAUUCUCCAAUUGUUCGCUUGGCAAUAUCAAUUCCUCUCGGUAAAAAACAGUCAAUUCGGUGGCUGUUCGCAGUCAAAAACAUUUUUUACUCCCAGCCAAACAGUCAAUUCUUUUUUUUUUUUUGAAGUAAUAGUGAAAUUAAUUUUUAAAUAUAGAAUAAAAAUAAUUAUUUUUUAAAGAAGAACUGAAAUUAAAAAUAGUAAAAAAUAAUUACUGAAAUAAAUAAAUAAAUAAAUAAUAAAAUCAUUUACUUCUUUUAUUUGGUAAAAAUUAAAAUAAGUGGUAUCUAAUUUAAGACAUUUUACACUUACUUUUUUCUUUAUUAAUUACCAUUCUAUAUUUUUUUCAAAACAAAUAUUUUACAUCCAUAAAUUAAUUUAUUUUUCUAUGUAAAUUUAGAAUUAUAUGGAUAAAAAAUUGUACUUUUUAUUAAUGUAAUAAUAAAUUAAGUAAAAAUUAUUAAAUAUUUUCUCUUUUCUCUCUUUUUUUUUUUUUUUGGAAUUCUUAUGUAAUAUUUGUUCAAAUUUUAUAAGAAAAUAAAUAAAUGAAAUUUUCAUACCAAAAUUUCUUAUUUUUAGAUAUAAUCUAGAAUUACUUUCUCUCCCCCUUCUUGUUCCAAUAAUACAUGAAGGAAUAAUUUAUAUAUAAGGACCCCCCUUGUAUCAAUAUAUAUAUAUAUAUAUAUAUGUGUGUGUGUGUGUGUAUAGUUUAUGCAUAUAUAGCUCUCUCAUACGUAAUAGUCAUGUAUAUAUAUCUAUAUAUAAUAUGCACCUAUAUACAUAAAUCCACAAAAGAACUCCACAUUUUUUCAAAGAGUUUAUUUGUUUCAAAAGUGAACUUUUUAAAUACUAUACAUAAUUGGAGAGAGAAACUGCUUUUUCAUUGCACAAAAAAAAGAAAGAGAUGAAAAUUUGUAGGCUCUGUAACAAGACUGAAUAAGCAAUGAAUUACAUCAGCUCAUUUACUUAAUCAAAAAAGGCAAAUCAACUAAAUCUAGAACUCCUUAUGACUAACUGAAACCAGUCAAUCAACUAUGCUAACCCUAAAACUCAAGGAUCAUUCUGUACUGGGGGACUCUGGCUGGAUAUAAAAUAUUGUUACAAGCUGCUAUAGAUAUGUUCUUGCGGUCACAAAACCUGCAAAAAUCAAUACUACCACAUUCCAGUAUAUCACUUGCGCCAACUGUAUGUCAAAACUGGGUUACAUUAACCUCUCAAAAUCUAAUCUUUUCGGGCACGACGAGAAAAGCCAAGACAGCGGAGAUCUAUUUGUACAGAUUUUGUCGGUAUUGAGAAAAUAUACAAAUUGCACAAAUCCCCAGGUGUGAACAUAAUUAGAUGUGCAGCCUUGGCAGGAGAUCUCCUCUUGCAUUUUGGAGAAGUUCAGGCAAGUGAUAUGAGAUGUAAAGGAAGCAUGGAACCAGGUAGUUGGCAUGGCGAGGUCUCAGUAGCCAGUUCGCUUGAUCCUGUCCCCUCCCCUCGUCUACUCUGUUUGUGCAGUAUGGUACAAAUGUCGCAAAACCUGAAAGAAUUCUGAGCUCUUUCAGGGAACAGGUGGAGCAUUUUUAGAAAAUCGCCCAGAAGAUGGUACCCGCUGCAAAACUCUCGGGAACUCUUGCUUUAGUCGUUUACUUGACAUCCCUUGCAAUGACCUUCAUCAUAAAUCAGAAGUUCAUUUAAGGAAACAAAAAAAUAAAAGUUUGACAGAAAUAAGGAGAUGAAUGAUAAAAUCCUUUGGCUGAAGCAACCAAAACAAGAUUAAAGGGGCCACAUGGGGGGUAGAUGGACCCAAUAAUCAAGCCCCAAAACCAUCCAGUACCAAGCCAAUACUAGUAUCCAAUGCAUCAUACAAGGAAAAUAAAUGGUAACAAGCAAAAUGACAUACCUCGGGGAACCCUGACGUUUCCGAGGAAACUGACCAAGCAUUGAUCUCAGGCUUCCAAGAGCUCUCUCAGCAGCCUAAGGAAAUUUUUGUUCAGGUGAUCAAAUAGAAUAUUAAUAAAUAAUAUGAGGAAACUCUAAGUGUGUUAAAAAUGUAUAGCUCAUAAUAGCAGGGAAAAACCUGCAUCUUAGCCUCAUCCCAAGUCGACCCAAUCCCUUCCCCUAAAACCUGUCCAUCUAUUUCAACCUGAAACAUGAACAGAAGAAGAUUGUUAGAAUUCAGGAAAAAGGUGGUUUAAACCAACACCAAGCUCACAUCUUAAUUUAUAGGCACCAUGACAAAAUGGGCAAACUCAGGCACCAUAAAUGUUUGAAAUGUCAUUUGGCUCUACUUAAUCAACCAGUCCUAAUCAGCCAUUCAAGAAACACGAGUGAAGACUCAAAUUGUUUACACAGUACUUAGACAAUCAUUCUCCAAAAUGUGCAAAAACUCAACAGAAGGACAAAAAAAUUAGUUCUGUAAUUCAGUGGGACACAAAUUAGGUACCGAAUGGCUGGUAAGGAUACAUAAUAAUAACAUACAUGAAGUAGCAUAGCGAGACAGAAAUUAUAAACUGUAAAGAAAAAAAGGAGAUGACGCCCCAUUCAAAAUCACAGGGAUCCAAACACGUGCUACAACUAAAGUUUGUUAAAGCAAUCAAUCAUGAGACAAUAUCUAGUCAUAAACAGCCUGAAUUAACAACAAAGUACACCUAACGGUUUAUAGUGCUUUUAGAUAUCCUACUAUAUCUGGCAAAUAAGUACAGACCACGUGUUUCAUGGGUAUUGANNNNNNNNNNNNNNNNNNNNNNNNNNNNNNNNNNNNNNNNNNNNNNNNNNNNNNNNNNNNNNNNNNNNAAUACACCUGUCCUUGAGAUUGGAAACAUUUUCGUGACAGGUAUCUUAUUGAUAGCUAUACUAUCCACACGCGCAUACUCCAAGAUCCAUCCUACUGGUGGUUAAUAGAGUAAGGGUAGCACAGCCCAUUUUUUUUUAAAUAAAAGUAAGGAGUAGCACAACUCAUAAGGAGUUAUGAUGAAAAGAAUAGUUAAAGGCUCCCCAUUCAAUCGAUUUAUUUCCUUAAGGCUCAACCUAGAAGAUUAGAGAUAAAGCAAUCAAGCACCAAGAGAAACAACCAUAGGCAACACAUCAAUACAGACCUCAUUUCUAUGAUAGCCCAACCAAGAAACAGACUUCCUAUUUAACUUGGCAUUACAUGUGUCAUGUCUAAUGAUGUCCAACUGAAUACGAACCUUACAUCUUUGAGUGACUGAUAUAGUAAUUAUAAUCAUCCAACCAAAAUGAAAAAGGAUAUAGAUGUGAUUCUAUAUUAAUAAUUUAACUAAGCAGUAGCAGAUUUAACAAUCCAUGCUAAGUAAUGGCGCAACUAGAAGUUUGUUAGAGCUGUGGAACACUAGAAAAUAUUUCUGUGAUUUUUAUAAGACGGCUGAAUAACAAUAGACUAGCACUUUAUAUAGGAUUUAUGGAUAUCUUAUUAUGCUUAGAACCUAUGUUGCUCAGACUCUUUAAUUUUAGUAUAAUACCUGUGCUAGACAUGACACAACAUUGAUGUGGUUACCGGACCUAUGUCCAACAUUUGAUGUGCAUUUCGAACUCUUAGAUGUCUACAUUUUCAACAUUUUUAUACGAUAAACAUUUAAUUAGUUAUAUAUUACUAAUUCACCGGUCUUUGGCCGCACUGCUGGUUUGUGCUCAUGCUGUGCCAUAUAAAAUGCACACAAUUCUAAUUGAAGUUGAAGCUGUUUUUGGCUUUUCAUAAAAGUGAACCAAAAGCUGAAAAAAGUUAUUUCUAAGAUAUAGCUUGGUGAAUGAAAUCUCUAAUGAAUAUAUUUUUUAAUUUUAUGUUUUAUUAAAAUAUCAUUUUGAUAUUUUAAAAAUAAAAUAUGGGUAAUUUAUUUAUUUAAGUAGUUUCUAUUUCUCAAAACUAAAAGAUGAUGAACUAAACUGAGUAAAAUAAGUACAAAAAUUUUUAAGAAAAAGAUUUAUAAUAUAUUUAAAUUGUUUGUAAUAAUUACUUUUCAUUGUCACGUAGCUUCUAUUAUUAUUUCAAUAUUGACCACUUAAUUUUUAACAUGAUUAACUAAAUACAACAUUAUAUUUUUUUGAGACAAAAAUUAUAAUAUUAUAUUUUACAUUGACAGUACUUCUACAACAAGUUCAAAACCCUUAUUAUCACAUUUCUAUUCACUACAAAUAUGAGUGCUAAUUCUUAUGCUAAAGGUUGUUUGCUAUGUAUGUGACAUUCUCAUCUAAGAUUGUUAUGUAUAUCACAUUGCCAUAGCUUCCUAAAACCUAAAAUUAGUUAUAUAUUUCCUUAUCAAACAAACCAAGUACCAAUACCCAAUUUGUGAACUCUUAUUGACGGACUCUCUAUAAUAUGACUAUAAAACUGAUCAACUAACACCACUUAGCUCUAUACCCAGACUGGAUAUUCACACCAAGUCCAGACAACGUCAUCUAGAAUUAUAAACAGGAAACAAAAACUAAAUAGGAUGGAAUAACAACUUAAUAGGAUUCUAGCUAACCAAGAAAUAACAAACCUAUUAAAGAUAUAAUAAGCCCAUAUGUUUUUCUAAAAAAAAUAAAUAAAUAAGUCCAUACUAGUAAUAACAGGGGAGAUAAUUCCAGGAUGGCCCUGCAUUAAUGCAAGCAUGAUAAACUGCAGUGCAAUUCUCAAGAUCUAAAACAAAUAGAAGUUUAAGUGAUGCAGAAUGAGAAUAACAUAUAUUCAAAAAAAAUUCAGAUUAGAAUAUAUUUAUUUAAAAAUAUAAAACUUUAAUUUUUUAUAUGCACUUAGAAAUGUACAGAUUAUUUACUAUAUAUCUAUAAGCAUAAUUUCUAUCAGAAGUUAAAGGUAUCAUAUUUAGGAUUUAGUUUCUUCCAUAUAUAUAUAUAUAUGUAUGAUCAAUUAUGAAUUGGCAAUCAUACAUCUGAAUUCCUUGCAGAUACAGCCCCCCCAAAAAAGAACCUUAAACCGAUGGAUUAGGUAAGCUUACACGUGGUGAUUUACUCUUCAAAAUCCCGGCUUUUGCGCUUUGAUGGAUCUCCGAGAUCCUAUCUAUUUUAAAUUUUAUUUACUUUCCCAAAUUGAUUAGAUUGAAUUUCUCUUUAAAACGUAAUUUGGUACCUAAAAUUAGAAGACCUUCAUUAAGGUUCAGAGGUGGCUGAUUGAGUUUCAGAUUUCUAUUCUUUUUCCCAUUAUACCUAUUCCUCAUUGUCUUUUCACCCCUUUUCUUGAUAGUCUAGUUUCUUCAGUCUCUGCAACCAUUUCUCUCCGAUUCCCUACUUCCUUCCUUUCUCUCUCACCUUACAUCAGUUGGUAUCAAAACCAAUGUAUUACAUUAUGUCUCUAAUCCAGGGCAAGAAAAAGCAAGGAAGUAAGAAAUUUUCUCUAUUAUUAAAGCUAUGAUAUCUAUUUCUUCUAUUUUUUUUAUUUUAUUAAAGUUGAAUAUGGAAUUUACUUUCGUUUUAGUCAUUAGAUUCAAUAGUAGAUUAGGUUCAUUCACAUAAUAUCUCGAAUGACAAGAAAUAAUAGUAUUGCAUGAUGAGAUCACUAGAAAAAAUCAAGUCUUUAUUUUAAUUGGUUUUCAAUUUUCUAUCAAAGUUUCCCUAAGUGUUUAGGCAACAAUAUCUGAAUCCAAACAUUAAAGCAAAAUAUUAGUCAAUGCAAACCUGUGCCUGUACUUCAUUUGUCUGGAUUGCAUUAGCUGAUGGUGGCAGUGGUUGGAAAACUACCCCAAGGCCCUCCAUCAUGCACUGAUGUUUUCCACCAAGUCCAUUCCGCAUCAGUAACCAGAAAAGAUAUAGCGGUUAAAGUGACAAAUAUAAACAAGUAAGAUGCUAGAAUUUCUAGGACCUCACCAAUUCUCUAAGUGCCGAAACUGCACCUAUAGAUCUUCUAGAGGUUUCCAGCCUUGGGUCCACAAGCCUAGAUUGCUCUGAUGUAGUUGAAAAUAUUGUAGACUCUUCUCUGGGAAAAAGUAGAUUCCCAACAGAAUUUGCAUUACCCAGAAAGCCAUUAUCAUUUGUGUUGGUAAAGGAACUAGCAUCCCCAUGUGCAGACCCAGCAUCAGGCUUCAUACGAGAAAUAUAUAUAUCUGCAAAAUAGCUAGGCUAAGAUUGUCAAGAUUACCGAAGGAAAAUACUAGAAGAAAAGCAUUAAAUUCAAUGGAGGAUCUCAUUGAGUAAAUAUAGAACUGAACCAAUGCAGAACUGACAUUAAAUUACACAGUUAACAAAUCUUUUCCUCUGGUGUCAUACUUUUUUUCUCCUGUUUCUAAUAAUAUUUCUUCUCUCAAAAAUAAAGCUAUAUGACAAAAAGAAGUUCCAAAGCAUUCCAUAAACUUAAAUGAAACAACCUUGGGUCAGAUAUAAGAGUUAAUACCCAAAUGCAAAUAACUCUAGAUAGAACAGAGAGAGUGUGAUUUUUCUAUCAAAAAGACAGCAGAAAAAUGAGCUAAGAAAUAUCAGAAAUACAACAUCAGGAGAAAAAACUUACUGGCUAAGUUUUUAAUAGAACCCUCAGCAGCCUGAUGUUGGGCCUCUCUUCUUGUCCUACCAACUCCUUCACCAAUUUUUUCUCCAGCGAACCAAACCUGCAAAAGGUAACAAAUCAAAUGAGCAUGUAUAAUAGGAACACUUGGAGACAGGUCAUGUAAGUUGCACGCAGAACGGCAGAAAUUGUGAACUUGUAUAAUUGUUGGUUUGACAAAACCUCAAAGGAGAACUUCAGGAAGAAAUAUUAUAUAAAAAAGCGAAGAAAAAAUACAAAAAAAAUCUGAAACUCAAAGUUUUGACAAAACCUCAAUGGAGAAUUUCAGUUCUUUGCUCGGAACUAAAGCUGGCCUGAACUCCACCUACAAAUUAUCAUUAAAAGAAAAGGAUGCAAAAAGGCACAACUUAGAUAUGAACUCAGGCAAGAAAGCAUGCAUAAAGUUAGGUGCAGAAUAUCUGUAACAAUACAAUUCGUUUCUUGUUACCUUUGUACCACAUUUAAUUGCAAUAUCCUGUAGAACUCCAGCAGGAGUUUCUGCACUUGAAACAACUCGUCCAGAUUCAAAGUCAAGAUCCCUGUUCCUUGAAGAAGAUCGACUCAGGGGCAUAUCCUCACCUUCAAUUUCAAACAUUAGCCCAAAAUCAACAGUCAGUUUGUCAUAAUAGAAAAUAAUGAAAAUGGGAUGGGCUGAGAAGCGAACAAUAAUAUCCUAAGAAUGAAAAUCAAAGAUUCCUGAUAUCAUCUCAUGUGCAACUAAAAUUUGAAAGCUCACCUGAGAAGGAAUGAUAACUAGAUAGUGAAUUGUUUAACCUCAUCCGAUCAUCUCUAUGAAGUGGCUGCAAAUAAAGAAUGUCAUAUGGAUCAUGUUAUUCACCAAUCACAGGGAACACUGACCUUCUCAAAAUAAAUGCUCAAGGCUAAAACCAGAUUGUCAAGUACCUCUUUUGGCAAUCUUUGAUUUUCAUGAAGAAUUCUAUCAGAUGAAAUAGAACUCUCAACCUUGGGCAAAAAUGAAGGAUGAUGAACUCGGUGCUNNNNNNNNNNNNNNNNNNNNNNNNNNNNNNNNNNNNNNNNNNNNNNNNNNNNNNNNNNNNNNNNNNNNNNNNNNNNNNNNNNNNNNNNNNNNNNNNNNNNNNNNNNNNNNNNNNNNNNNNNNNNNNNNNNNNNNNNNNNNNNNNNNNNNCAGAGUCCAAAGGAAAAUCUUUUGUAACUACUCGGUUCAACAGUUGAGGAGUCAUCUCCUCCUCAACUGGAAACCAGCCUCCACGUGAUUGCCCACGUGAAAUUGGGGCUUGUAUUGGAGGUCUUCCAGGAAAUGGCGUUUCAGUUGGUGCAUGAUCUCUUGUAUCUUGACCAUGCUGCAAUAUGAGAAGCCUCCUCCUUGUAUCUGGAUCUAAUUCUGAUUCCGGAACCUCACCCUCUUCUCUGGCAGGAGAACUUUGCAAGCUCGAUUCCAAGGGGCUAACAGGAACCACAGGUUUAACUGCUGAGGCUGUCCCAGGAAAUUGCCUACCAUGAAAGGGCAUAACUGAUUGUUGAACUGUUGGCAGUGGAACUGAGCUAGAAGAAGACCCCAUUGUAUAUUGAAGAGAAGAAGCAAGCCUUGGAUCUAGAUUAGUUACCACAGGAGAAGCUGCUGUGGAUGCUGAAAUUGCCUCCUGAUCGGAAGAAACCAAGAAGCACCGAAACCCAUUUAAACUUCAAUGAUCGAUGCACCACAUCCACCAAUUAUAAGGAUAGAGAAGUUUGGAAAAGGAAAGCCAACAAUGAUAUGUAUUUUUUUUAUAGUAAAUGAUCUGUACUUAAUAAUGUAAAUUUACUUGAAGCAACCAAACCUGAAUAUACAUUGGUCCAAGAAUGUUAAUUUACCUUUAGUCUUCUCUCAACCUCAGCAUCUGCCAUCCCAUCAAAAGCAAGUGGAUCCUUAUUCCCAUUUGAAACAGAAGAAUCAUCCUGAAAUGUAGCAAAAGAAAGAAAAAUAGAUGGUAAAUAACAAAUUUACGUGCACAUACAAGAGAAAUGCACGGAACAAAGACAACAAUUUAAAGAAUAAACAUAGAUACAGAAAAGCAAAAUAGUAGGCUGACCUCAGAGACCAAAUAAUUGCUAACAUCAGGUGGAGAAGGAAUACUUUUAAUAUCAUCUUCAUAUGAUAUUUCUGGCAUCCUUUGUAGAAGACCAUCAUCAAAUUCUCUGUUGAUAAUAAAACCAACAUUCACAUAAAAUAAUCCCUCAAAGAUCAACAGACCAGAAUAUACUCUCUCAGAACUCAAAACAUGUAUGUGCCUAUGUGAGAAAACUUUUUUCAAGUUUCAACUCUUACUUGAAAAAACCACCUCUAACAUUGCAAGCAACAUUUCUUGCCACACAGAGUACAGGUAUAGUAUUAUUUGC